GGAGUAUUAGUAUUCCUACAGUUGACACAGAAACAGCACCCUUGCGAUGGGGGCUGGAUUUUCUCAUGUGAUGCUGGAAACUCAAUCACAGGUCCUUGCUCAUCAUUUCAAUGCAAAAUCUUAUCCGGAUUCUUACUUGGCACCCGUCCGCUUCACUUCGGUUCCUUAGCUCAGUUGUUUUCUGCUUUUCAUCUUCAACGUGUGUAUCGUGAGUCAAAUGUGGUGGCCCAUAACAUUGCUAAAUUUGCCAGCAGAGGAGUGUUUUUGGAUCGAGGAUGCCGUUCCAUCUGUUGCCGUCUCGUUGUGUCAGGACUUUGUUCUUUCUUAAUGAUAUUUCCACUAAUUAUUAUAUAUUACUAAACACAUAAUAUUUUUA
rnacentral:misc_RNA from 1 species